UACGAAGGGGACUAGCGUUGUUCGGAUUUACUGGGCGUAAAGCGCGCGUAGGCGGAUCGCUAAGUCAGGGGUGAAAUCCCAGGGCUCAACCCUGGAACUGCCUUUGAUACUGACGAUCUGGAGCUCGGGAGAGGUUGGUGGAAUUCCGAGUGUAGAGGUGAAAUUCGUAGAUAUUCGGAGGAACACCAGAAGCGAAGGCGGCCAACUGGCCCGAUACUGACGCUGAGGCGCGAAAGCGUGGGGAGCAAACAGG
rnacentral:rRNA from 1 species